rnacentral:rRNA from 1 species
CCUACGGGUGGCAGCAGUGAGGAAUCUUGGUCAAUGGACGCAAGUCUGAACCAGCCAAGUCGCGUGCAGGAUUACAGCCCUCCGGGUUGUAAACUGCUUUUAUUUGGGAAUAAAACGGGUAUCGUGAGCCCCGUCUUGUAUGUACCAUCCUAAAAAGGACCGGCUAAUUCCUUGCCAGCAGCCGCGGUAAUACGGAAGGUCCGGGCGUUAUCCGGCUUUGUUGGGGUUAAAGGGAGCGUAGUCCGGCCUUUAAGUCAUCUGGGAAAGUCCGCGGCUCAACCGUGGAAUGGCAGUUGAAACUGGAGGGCUGGAGUGCACGCAGGGAUGCCGGAAUUCAUGGUGUAGCGGUGAAAUGCUUAGAUAUCAGGAAGAACACCGGUGGCGAAGGCAAGUGCCUGGGGUGUAACUGACGCUGAGGCACGAAAGUGAGGGGAGCAAACAGGAUUAGAUACCCUAGUAGUC